AUUGAACGCUGGCGGCAUGCUUUACACAUACAAGUCGAACGGCAGCGAGGAGAAGCUUGCUUCUCUGUCGGCGAGUGGCGAACGGGUGAGUAUAGCAUCGGAACGUGCCAAGUAGUGGGGGAUAACCAAACGAAAGUUUGGCUAAUACCGCGUAAGCUCUAAGGAGGAAAGUAGGGGACCUAAAUAAGGCCUUACGCUAUUUGAUCGGCCGAUGUCGGAUUAGCUAGUUGGUGGGGUAAUGGCUCACCGAGGCAAUGAUCCGUAGCGGGUCUGAGAGGACGAUCCGCCACACUGGGACUGAGACACGGCCCAGACUCCUACGGGAGGCAGCAGUGGGGAAUUUUGGACAAUGGGGGAAACCCUGAUCCAGCCAUGCCGCGUGUAUGAAGAAGGCCUUAGGGUUGUAAAGUACUUUUGUUAGGGAAGAAAAGCUAGUUUUUAAUAAAAAUUAGUGAUGACGGUACCUAAAGAAUAAGCACCGGCUAACUACGUG
rnacentral:rRNA from 1 species